rnacentral:tRNA from 1 species
GCGCCCGUAGCUCAGUCGGAUAGAGCAACGGAUUUCUAAUCCGUCGGUCGGGGGUUCGAAUCCCUCCGGGCGCG